rnacentral:sRNA from 1 species
GAGGCCGCGCCCGGAGCGCGGCGGGGCUCGGCGUGCGGCGUGCCCGGCAUGUCCCUGUACCGCAGCGUCGUGUGGUUCGCCAAGGGGCUGCGCGAGUACACCAAGAGUGGCUAUGAAUCUGCAUCUAAAGACUUUGUCCCUCAUGACUUGGAGGUCCAGGUUCCUGGAAGAGUCUUUUUGGUCACUGGAGGAAACAGCGGCAUUGGCAAAGCAACUGCCCUUGAAAUCGCCAAGCGAGAACAUUUUUCUGCACAUUGUGGACUUGUCUGAUCCCAAGCAAAUCUGGAAAUUUGUUGAAAAUUUCAAGCAGGAACAUAAACUCCAUGUUCUGAUCAAUAAUGCAGGUUGCAUGGUCAAUAAAAGAGAGCUCACAGAAGAUGGACUUGAAAAAAACUUUGCUACCAAUACUCUGGGUGUGUACAUUCUCACGACUGGCCUGAUCCCUGUGCUGGAGAAAGAACACGACCCCCGAGUGAUAACCGUCUCCUCAGGAGGAAUGUUGGUUCAGAAACUGAACACCAAUGAUCUCCAGUCCGAAAGAACACCAUUUGAUGGAACUAUGGUCUAUGCACAAAACAAGAGGCAGCAAGUGGUUCUGACGGAGCAGUGGGCCCGAGGGCACCCGGCCAUCCAUUUUUCUUCCAUGCAUCCUGGCUGGGCCGACACCCCAG